GGACAUCGUCACGCGUACAUAUCCAGCCCCCGUCGUUGAGGAGAAGGACGACGUUAUUGGGAUGACCUCCCCCAUUGAUACCGCAAUACCAUCUCAUCAGUCACAUGAGUAGUCGACAAGAUGGGGCACCGGUUAACCCUUCGGUGACUUCACCGAUCCGAUCUGCGGUUUUCGUCUUGAAGGCCAACCGAUUGGAUCUCCUAUAGUUGUAGAUCGUCCACUGGAGGGACUCGACAUUGAUAUAUCAUCGAUCGAGGGUUAUCUCUAAACACCUUUCCCAGAAGUUCAGGACGAGCGACUAUGGUUACUUGCUGAUAUCCCGAGCUCGACCAAAAAGCUUGUA